AAGGACCUGGGACAAUUACACCAAUUCCUUGGAAUCUCUAUAUAUUAAUAAUAGAACUGAAUGAACAGUGAUCAAAGGGCAUGAGAGGAAUUUCACAACACCAGAACACGUGUGGUCUUUUUUCCCUGCCACCAUACAUAGAUUCAUCCUCUCAAACCUCAUCACAGAGAAAAAAACCAGAGAAUUAGAAUGAACUGAAAAUGUGAGAAAGAUAAGAGGGUGAGUGAAGCAGCGGCGAGCCAUCUACGGAAACGGAAAUGACGGUGGUACCGAGGUUUUCGGUCAUCGCAGCGGUGGUCAACAGUCGCACCAGGUGGUGGCUAGGGUUUCAGUUUCCGUUUCAGGCAUUAUCAGCAGCAGAAACCAAUGGUGAAGGCGGUUAGGGUAUCACCACAGUGAUGAAGAUGGCUUCAAGAAGCUCCGGCGAGAUACCUAGGGUUCCGGUCAUAUUCCGGCGAAUUCCCCGCAGAAGGAUUAAAGCUUGCAUGUUCCAUUUUCAUGUAGAUUGGUGACCGAUUCGUCUGAAAUCAUUCCGAGACAUGUUUUUAUGGCUUCCAGUGAUGCUCUUAUGCACCUAUACGUAAUAAUCAUAGAUCAUUUUGGGCAACUUUCCGUUUGAAAUUGUUUCAUAUUCCGUAACAUUGGUAAUCCCAUCUUUAACUAGAAGCAAACUUAUUGAACAACUUAUAAGAACCGACAAGUGGUUUCUGACCCGUAAUCGGCGACAACGUUCAUUCUUCAGCUAAGAUCCGUUGGUGAGCCUUUCUCACAGCCAUUAACUAAGGGGGGGAUAGUGCACGGUCCUCCCAACCGCCGCAGUGUUAUCACUCCGCAAGCUAGCCACCCAGCAAGGCCAUCUGGCGGUAAAUCUCCUACUGUAGGGGCUUUUUGGACUGAGGACCUGACUCGAACCCGCCACCUCCGGGUUAGAAAGGAGGCUGGUGGCCACUGGGACACCCCCAUUCGGAAACGAUUUUCUAUAGUUGAAAUGUUUAUGUGGAAAGUAGGUGCGAAUUGAGUACUUUGGGAUGGGAUUGUAUAACUUGGUUUGUUAAAAUGUUCAUAUAUGUAGAAAUUUGGCGUCGAAUGGGUACUUUGGAGUGGGAUUGUAUAACAUGGUUUGUAUAGCUUGUAGGUAAACUAAUCAAUCACUUAUGUACUAAUGUGCAUUUUAUCAGCAUGCAAAAUUAGGGGAUCGGAUCUCAGGUGCAGUUUUAAGGUUUCUUGAUGCUUAUUUUGACUACUUUUUCUUAUAAUGAAUACCUUAUAUUAUACCUUAUAUUAAAUCACAACUCGAAAGCCAUAGUUUUGUUUGUUACCUUUUUGUAUUAGCCACGACAGUUUUACUUUGUUUUUUCACUUUGGCCACCUCAGGAAGCUUCUAUCCUUUUACUUGAUGAAUAAGAGAGACAACAAAGAGAAAGGCAGUCCUUAAUGAGAGACUCAGGCGCGUGCAGACUAUCUAGCCAUAAAAAAAUGUCAAUGACGAAGCUUUCCAUGGUGCUAUCGGUUGGAGUGUACAGGAAGUGGUGGUGAUGCAGACGCAGCUCUGAUGAAUUGUGGUGUUGAAACAAGGUCGAAACAAAACGAAAGGGGACAAUGACGACAUGGUGACAGUUUAGAAACCAUAGCCGUGAACUUAGCCGGCUAGGGUUUUUAUCAAAAAUCCAGUGACCCCUUCGAGCUGCGUGUCUCAUUUCGAAGCUAGGAACUACGAGGUAAAGAUUGUCAAAUCUGAGAGAUUAGGAGGCUGUAUUAUGAAACUGGUGACUCGACUUCUGACUCGCCAGGCAUUUUCAUGUCUGAUUCACUAACUCAACUCGGAAUUGCUUCCACAUUACAAAUGGGAGUAGAAACAUAAGACAUAGAAAAGCGAUGGUCUUUAGUAGAUAAACAUAUUUAUGGUCUCAAAAGUGAAAAAAAAAAGUCGGAGUAAGCUUUGUAAGUUAAAACUUCUGGGAAUGUUGUAAUGUUGCUGUAAUCAUCUUCUCCAAGCCAUUGUUGAAGCCUUUGCUGUCUCAAGUAAACUUUGUUUUUAAUGGUUCUUUAAUUUUUGUUUUUCAACUCAAAUUUCAAGCAAAAUAAUCGCAUCUU